rnacentral:rRNA from 1 species
UAGAAAUUAAAUAAAAAUUAAGCACAACAAAGCAGAGACUCCCCUCGUACCUUUUGCAUCAUGGUUUAGCUAGUCAAACCAAGCACAAAGAAUUUUAGUUUGACCUCCCGAAACUAGGUGAGCUACUUCAAAACAGCCUAUCAAGGGCCAACCCGUCUCUGUUGCAAAAGAGUGGGAAGAUUUUCAAGUAGAGGUGACAGACCUACCGAACCUAGAGAUAGCUGGUUAUUUAGGAAAAGGAUUUUAGUCCUACCUUAAGUUCUUCCUUUAUUAAUAAAACAACUCCGAACUUAAGAGCUAUUCAAACAAGGUACAGCCUGUUUGAAACAGGGAACAACCUCAAAAAUAGGGUAACUCCAAAUGACAGGUGUCCAAGUGGGCCUAAAAGCAGCCAACUUUAAAAAAGCGUUACAGCUUCCUCACCAGUCACUUUAAUACCAAAAACACUACAUAACCCUCACCCAGUACUAAAUAACUCUAUACCCCUAUAGAAAUUAUUAUGCUAAAACUAGUAACAUGAAGAAGCCCUUCUCCUAAAUGUGCAUGUACGCCAAAAAGAACAAUUCAUUGGCAUUUAACGCUACUGACCCUAAAGCAACAACUAUACAAGAGAAUCUUGCUAACACCAACGUUAACCUAACACAAGAACAUUUCAGGAAAGAUUAAAAGAGGUGGAAGGAACUCGGCAAAUUUUAACCCCGCCUGUUUACC